rnacentral:misc_RNA from 1 species
GAUGAAGAACGUAGCGAAAUGCGAUAAGUAAUGUGAAUUGCAGAAUUCGGUGAAUCAUCGAAUCUUUGAACGCAUCUUGCGCUCCUUGGUAUUCUGAGGAGCAUGCCUGUUUGAGUGUCAUUAAAUUCUCAACUACACUGACUUUGAAUUGGUGUGGCUUGGAUUUGGGGGGAAAAUUGUUGUGGGCUUUUUGUAUAGUCUGCUCCCCUGAAAUUGAUUAGCGGUACCUUUGUGGAACUGUCUACAGGUGUGAUAAUUAUCUACAUCUUAGACAUCUGCUGGAAUGCUGCUCUCUAAACCUUACUUGUAUUGACAAUCUUGACCUCAAAUCAGGUAGGACUACCCGCUGAACUUAAGCAUAUCAAUAAGCGGAGGA